rnacentral:rRNA from 1 species
UACGGAGGGUGCGAGCGUUGUCCGGAAUCACUGGGCGUAAAGGGCGCGUAGGUGGCGUCGCAAGUCAACGGUGAAAGCUCGACGCUCAACGUCGAGUCGGCCGUCGAGACUGCGAGGCUUGAGCACUGUAGAGGCAGAUGGAAUUCCGGGUGUAGCGGUGGAAUGCGUAGAGAUCCGGAAGAACACCGGUGGCGAAGGCGGUCUGCUGGGCAGUUGCUGACACUGAGGCGCGACAGCGUGGGGAUCAAACAGG